rnacentral:rRNA from 1 species
AUUGAACGCUGGCGGCAGGCCUAACACAUGCAAGUCGAACGAGUGGCGGACGGGUGAGUCAUGUCUGGGAAACUGCCUGAUGGAGGGGGCUAACUACUGGAAACGGUAGCUACUACCGCAUACCAUCAGAUCUGCCCAGAUGGGAUUAGCUAGUUGGUGGGGUAACGGCUCACCAGGGCGACGAUCCCUAGCUGGUCUGAGAGGAUGACCCGCCACACUGGAACUGAGACACGGUCCAGAGUCCUACGGGAGUCAGCAGUGGGGAAUAUUGCACAAUGGGCGCAAGCCUUAUGCAGCCAUGCCGCGUGUAUGAAGAAGGCCUUCGGGGUGUAAAGUACUUUCAGCGGGGAGGCGUUACCCGCAGAAGAAGCACCGGAAAAGAAAGGGCCAGCAGCCGCGGUAAUAC